AUUGAACGCUGGCGGCAUGCCUUACACAUGCAAGUCGAACGGCAGCACGGGAGCAAUCCUGGUGGCGAGUGGCGAACGGGUGAGUAAUAUAUCGGAACGUGCCCAGUCGUGGGGAUAACGUAGCGAAAGCUACGCUAAUACCGCAUACGAUCUACGGAUGAAAGCGGGGGAUCGCAAGACCUCGCGCGAUCGGAGCGGCGAUAUCAGAUUAGGUAGUUGGUGAGGUAAAGGCUCACCAAAGCCGACGAUCUGUAGCUGGUCUGAGAGGACGACCAGCCACACUGGGACUGAGACACGGCCCAGACUCCUACGGAGGCAGCAGUGGGGAAUUUUGGACAAUGGGCGCAAGCCUGAUCCAGCAAUGCCGCGUGCAGGAUGAAGG
rnacentral:rRNA from 1 species